rnacentral:lncRNA from 1 species
GAGGCUAUAUACAGGGGGUACCGGUACAGAGUCAAUGUGGAGGCUAUAUACAGGGUAUUACGGUACAGAGUCAAUGUGGAGGCUAUAUACAGGGGGUACCGGUACAGAGUCACUGUGGAGGCUAUAGACAGGGGGUACCGGUACAGAGUCAAUGUGGAGGCUAUAUACAGGGGGUACCGGUACAGAGUCAAUGUGGAGGCUAUAUACAGGGGGUACCGGUACAGAGUCAAUGUGGAGGCUAUAUACAGGGGGUACCGGUACAGAGUCAAUGUGGAGGCUAUAUACAGGGUAUUACGGUACAGAGUCAAUGUGGAGGCUAUAUACAGGGGGUACCGGUACAGAGUCAAUGUGGAGGCUAUAUACAGGGGGUACCGGUACAGUGUCAAUGUGGAGGCUAUAUACAGGGGGUACCGGUACAGAGUCAAUGUGGAG